UACGUAGGGAGCUAGCGUUGUCCGGAAUCAUUGGGCGUAAAGCGCGCGUAGGCGGCCCGGUAAGUCCGCUGUGAAAGUCAAAGGCUCAACCUUUGAAUGUCAGCGGAUACUGCCGGGCUAGAGUCCGGAAGAGGCGAGUGGAACUCCUGGUGUAGCGGUGGAAUGCGCAGAUAUCAGGAAGAACACCAACGGCGAAGGCAGCUCGCUGGGACGGAACUGACGCUGAGACGCGAAAGCGUGGGGAGCGAACAGG
rnacentral:rRNA from 1 species